CCUACGGGAGGCAGCAGUGGGGAAUUUUGGACAAUGGGCGAAAGCCUGAUCCAGCCAUGCCGCGUGCAGGAUGAAGGCCUUCGGGUUGUAAACUGCUUUUGUACGGAACGAAAAGCCUCUUUCUAAUAAAGAGGGGUCAUGACGGUACCGUAAGAAUAAGCACCGGCUAACUACGUGCCAGCAGCCGCGGUAAUACGUAGGGUGCGAGCGUUAAUCGGAAUUACUGGGCGUAAAGCGUGCGCAGGCGGUUAUAUAAGACAGUUGUGAAAUCCCCGGGCUCAACCUGGGAACUGCAUCUGUGACUGUAUAGCUAGAGUACGGUAGAGGGGGAUGGAAUUCCGCGUGUAGCAGUGAAAUGCGUAGAUAUGCGGAGGAACACCGAUGGCGAAGGCAAUCCCCUGGACCUGUACUGACGCUCAUGCACGAAAGCGUGGGGAGCAAACAGGAUUAGAUACCCUGGUAGUCCACGCCCUAAACGAUGUCAACUGGUUGUUGGGAAUUCACUUUCUCAGUAACGAAGCUAACGCGUGAAGUUGACCGCCUGGGGAGUACGGCCGCAAGGUUGAAACUUCAAAUGAAAUUGACGACGNGAGAGNGCGACGGACGACGACGAGGAGGAGG
rnacentral:rRNA from 1 species